GGGCAUUUGGUCUAGUGG
rnacentral:siRNA from 1 species